GUCAGAGUUUGUGAACUCUCUUUGCAUACCUGUUUAUUUUGGCAAGCGCCUGGGACACGCUCUCUGCCGACCGUGCACCUGCA